GCACCCGGGACGGUAAGGAGCGUGCGCUCUUUCCCCCGGCGUCGGGGAAAGGGUGGUCCCGAGAGGGUCCGGGCGACGGGGCGGGGAGCUGAGCGGAGCCCGCGCAGGCGCCUGUGGGGAGCGAGGAGACGCCGAGGAGCGGAGGACGGCGGGGUCCGCGGAGCGGGGCCGACCCGGCGCGGUGAAGGGCACGCCCUCCAGGGAGAGGCCUCGACCGGUGGCGGGAGCGGGCUGCCCGCCAGGGGGUCCGGGGCGGGGGCUGAGGGAGUGACCGGAGGGAGAAAAGCGGGCGGGCCGGCGGGCGCGGGGCCUCAGGCCCAGGGCGGGGUCGGGCCGCGCCCGGAGGGGCAGGGACCGCCCGAGGCUGCUCCGCGCUCCCGCGCCGCUCCCGGCCGGACUGCCCCCGCCGCGCUGGUUGCGGAGAUUUAAUGAAUUUCGGGUUUGUAGCCCAGCCGGAAACUAGAGCGAGCGAGUUUUCCAGCCGCGGGGUGUGAAGGGCAGCCAAGGGGAAGGUGCAUGCCCGCAUUCAGGUGGACGGUAGCAGGAUGAACGUAGUCCCUGGGUGGAGAUCCAGAACGGGCUUGCGUUGCUGUUUUACUGUAGGAUCCCCAUCAAUGUGUGUGAUGCUUGAGAUAUAGUGCCCUAAAACUAACUCUAAGGCCGGGGGCGGGAAACAUGUCUAUGUUGUUCAUAGCUCAGUAUCUGGUGAACAGUGGAGGCCGAAUGCAUGUCUUGAAUUAACAGAAAGUUACCUACAUUUGUUAGGUACAAUUUAUUGUAGGGGUGCCAUCCUAUAAUUAGAAUAUAUCUCACUUCUGAGCCGAGGGUGACAUUAGGUUAGCAGGAAGCAAGAGCUGUAUUUAUUUAUAUCUCUCUUAAGUCCCUAGUGUGGAGACGGUCAGGGAACACCGAGAACACAACAAAUAGGAGGGAACCGCAGCAUUUGGAAUGAACAUGUUCAGCCCUGCUAGUGAUGAAACAUCUGGAAAAUUAAAGCAGCCAGAAGUCAUUCACCAAUGGAUUUCAUGGAACCCACCCAAGUCCCUCCUUUGACUGCAAUGUAUAAAUACAGAUGUAACCCGCCAUUCUCCAGAGCAUUAUCUCAAUUCAUUGAGGUUCUGCUUCCCUGCAUAUGUCGACAGUUUGGCUCAAAUAAACUGGCAAACAUUC